GACGAACCGUGCGAACGUUAUUCGGAAUCAUUGGGCUUAAAGGGCGCGUAGGCGGCGGCGUAAGUUGGAAGUGAAAUCCCAUCGGCUCAACCGUGGAAUAGCUUUCAGUACUGCGUCGCUCGAGUGAGAUAGGGGUCCGUGGAACUACCGGUGGAGCGGUGAAAUGUGUUGAUAUCGGUGGGAACGCCAGUGGCGAAAGCGACGGACUGGACCUUUACUGACGCUGAGGCGCGAAAGCUAGGGGAGCAAACAGG
rnacentral:rRNA from 1 species